AUGGUGCCGUAACUUCGGGAGAAGGCACGCUGACACGUAGGUGAAGUGGUUUACCCAUGGAGCUGAAGUCAGUCGAAGAUACCAGCUGGCUGCAACUGUUUAUUAAAAACACAGCACUGUGCAAACACGAAAGUGGACGUAUACGGUGUGACGCCUGCCCGGUGCCGGAAGGUUAAUUGAUGGGGUCAGCGCAAGCGAAGCUCCUGAUCGAAGCCCCGGUAAACGGCGGCCGUAACUAUAACGGUCCUAAGGUAGCGAAAUUCCUUGUCGGGUAAGUUCCGACCUGCACGAAUGGCGUAAUGAUGGCCAGGCUGUCUCCACCCGGGACUCAGUGAAAUUGAACUCGCUGUGAAGAUGCAGUGUACCCGCGGCAAGACGGAAAGACCCCGUGAACCUUUACUAUAGCUUGACACUGAACACUGGUCCUUGAUGUGCAGGAUAGGUGGGAGGCUUUGAAGUGUGGACGCCAGUCUGCAUGGAGCCAUCCUUGAAAUACCACCCUUUAAUGGCUGGUGUUCUAACGUGGGCCCCUGACCGGGGUUGCGGACAGUGUCUGGUGGGUAGUUUGACUGGGGCGGUCUCCUCCUAAAGAGUAACGGAGGAGCACGAAGGUUGGCUAAUCCUGGUCGGACAUCAGGAGGUUAGUGCAAUGGCAUAAGCCAGCUUGACUGCGAGCGUGACGGCGCGAGCAGGUGCGAAAGCAGGUCAUAGUGAUCCGGUGGUUCUGAAUGGAAGGGCCAUCGCUCAACGGAUAAAAGGUACUCCGGGGAUAACAGGCUGAUACCGCCCAAGAGUUCAUAUCGACGGCGGUGUUUGGCACCUCGAUGUCGGCUCAUCACAUCCUGGGGCUGAAGUAGGUCCCAAGGGUAUGGCUGUUCGCCAUUUAAAGUGGUACGCGAGCUGGGUUUAGAACGUCGUGAGACAGUUCGGUCCCUAUCUGCCGUGGGCGCUGGAAGAUUGAGGGGGGCUGCUCCUAGUACGAGAGGACCGGAGUGGACGCAUCACUGGUGUUCGGGUUGUCAUGCCAAUGGCACUGCCCGGUAGCUACAUGCGGAAGAGAUAAGUGCUGAAAGCAUCUAAGCACGAAACUUGCCCCGAGAUGAAUCUUCCCUGAGCCUUUAAGGCUCCUGAAGGAACGUUGAAGACGACGACGUUGAUAGGCCGGGUGUGUAAGCGCAGCGAUGCGUUGAGCUAACCGGUACUAAUGAACCGUGAGGCUUAACCUUACAAC
rnacentral:rRNA from 1 species